UCCCAUCUGGCUCAGUUAGUAGAGCAUGGUGUUUGCAACGCCAGGGUUGUGGGUUCAAUUCCCACGGGGGGCC
rnacentral:tRNA from 1 species